CAUGAUUUUGUUUCUAUGUUCUGUAAUUUUAGAAAAAUCAGAAUCUGCAGCAAAUAUAACUAUUCAGGUACUCAUAAAGAGCAAAUAUACCAAUCUAGGAGAAAACUUUUUUUUCCCUUCUCCUUUUCUUUAUGCAUUCUUCUUAUGUAGUCUUAGAGUUAUUUAUUUUCCUUGCGACUUAUAUGUACUCAGAUGGUUCGUGUGCUCUCACUAGCUCUCUCAUUUAUUGUGCUACGUCAAUGAAUUUUUCGUCAGUGUUUUUUUCUUCUACCUCUUUAUUUGCAGGUGUAAAUAAACCUCUAUAAAGGUUACACCAAAAAGAAUAAAUAUAACAAAGCAGUAAUCCUUUUUGAAGUUCAAAUUUGAAUUUAUUUUAUUGGGCAGAUCCAACCAUGGAUUUCAUAUAGGUCUUCAAUCAAACAGUCCACGAAAUGUUCAGAUAUAGCUAUUAGAAAAUCAAAAAGUCAGGCCUUCUAAAGUAAGGAAACAAACAUUUUAUACAAAAAGAAGAAAUAACAUUGUUCGUUUGGUGUUGUCACAACAAUGUCACAAGAAAGAGUGCUCAAGAUGCGAGACUCUUACUCAAUUCUCAUACAAGCUUAAGAGUGAUCAAGAUAUUGUAAAAAUUUUUCGGUGAAGCACUAUGUUCUUCUUGUACCGGCGAGGACAUGCGACUUCUGCUGAAAUUAAUGUUCACUACAACGUAGGUGAUGUGGAGAUGACUUUUGGAGAUGUACAUGUUUUGGGUCUUAACUGUAAUACACCCUCCUUCUUUGACACUCUGAUCUAUCUUACACAUACCACUAAAGAACCAAGGUAGUUUUCUCCAAUUUUUGUGCUUGUAAUACAUAAAUGUCUCAUAUAGUUAUGGCUAUGUAUGAAUUUUUAAUAAAGAUCGAGUGUUACAGUAGAU